AUCAAGGACAAAAGAUUGCUGUUCCAGGUU
rnacentral:piRNA from 1 species